rnacentral:lncRNA from 1 species
AUGUUUGCCUUUUCACUUCCCUGCAAACAGCUAACUCUUUACGUUAAAUUCUCUCUGUUGGAUAAUUUGUGUGGUUUCUCUCUUUCGAGCUGGACUCUGACUGAAGCAGACAUGCCACCUUACGUCUUCCAUGAGAAGGACCGUAGGUUUCUGGCACAGUCCAAGUGUCCAGAGGAUUGUCAACACUCGUAUCAAUGGGCCCGUAGCUCCUGGAUUCCAGGUUGUUUUGGAGACUAUUUUUGUGGACCAAAUUUACUCAGAAGUUUUAUGAAAACAGCUACACAUUCACUUCCAACUUGAACUAGUGAAGUGCUUUAAAAUCCUUUAAAUCUGAUAAACAAUGAGAUCCUGCUGUCUAGCCUUGGGAACUAUAUCUAGUCACUAUGACGGAACAUGACGGAGGAUCAUGUCAGAAGAUGAAGGGGACCAAUGAGAGUAUUGGGGACUAAAUGAUUCUCCCGCCAAAAUACCUCAUGUGAUGGUAGAAAUAACUGGAUACAGAUGAAAUCAUGGAAAUGGGACCUACAUGCAUAAGAGCAAGAAGAUAGCCAUUGACAAGCAGCAAGAGGGUCCUCACCAGAAGCUGAAUCUACUAGCACCUUGACCUUGGACUUCCUGGCCUACUGAACGCUGAGAAAUAAAAGUCUUAAGUCUGUGGU